CCUACGGGAGGCAGCAGUGGGGAAUAUUGGACAAUGGGCGAAAGCCUGAUCCAGCCAUGCCGCGUGUGUGAAGAAGGUCUUCGGAUUGUAAAGCACUUUAAGUUGGGAGGAAGGGCAGUUACCUAAUACGUGAUUGUUUUGACGUUACCGACAGAAUAAGCACCGGCUAACUCUGUGCCAGCAGCCGCGGUAAUACAGAGGGUGCAAGCGUUAAUCGGAAUUACUGGGCGUAAAGCGCGCGUAGGUGGUUUGUUAAGUUGGAUGUGAAAUCCCCGGGCUCAACCUGGGAACUGCAUUCAAAACUGACUGACUAGAGUAUGGUAGAGGGUGGUGGAAUUUCCUGUGUAGCGGUGAAAUGCGUAGAUAUAGGAAGGAACACCAGUGGCGAAGGCGACCACCUGGACUGAUACUGACACUGAGGUGCGAAAGCGUGGGG
rnacentral:rRNA from 1 species